CUGAAGGACACGUGAGAUGUUCGGUCUCUUCGCCCCCUCUCGGGUUCGCUCUGCCCUUUCCUCUCUCUCGGCUUCACAAAAUCACUGAGCUGCACUGCGACACUGGAGGAACGUCUCAGCGGCUUUCACACAGACUGGAGACCAUGGAAACAUGCAAACAAGAAAAAGCAGAAAGAGCAAAAGAUCGGAAGGCUGUGGGUCAGAAGUGUGUAGGCGCUGUUUUACACUCUGGUACUGACGGGCAGACACUGGCACAGGUAGGAAGCAGCGCUGAUCUCCACAUCAUCAAGCCACGCCUUUCAUUCUCACCAAUACUGAACUGCUGCCUGGUCAGGUGGAUCAUCAAAAGUACAACAGCACAGAGUACAGUGUCUCCAUGAAUGAAUAGGAAUUAGGAAGCUGAGGGAACUUCAUGACAGCGGGGCUGAAAUGCUGUUUAUUUCAGGUGCAGUGUGA